rnacentral:sRNA from 2 species
CGAGCAGACUUGCCUAACUCUGCCGCUGCUCGGGAUCCGUUCGCAAAAAUCGUCCGGCAGAGACGGGGAACCCAAUACUGGCCUGCUUUCGGCGGGCCUUGGGGUGAAGCCGUGCCUGGUGCAUUUCUUGCAUCACCACGGCCGGGUGUCUCCCAUCCGAAUCCGACAGCUAACCUCGCAGGCAGUGGGAGAGGCCCU